UUUUCGACAAUGGGGGGAACCCUGAUCGAGCCAUCCCGCGUGUGGGACGAAGGCCUUCGGGUUGUAAACCACUUUUCUCAACGAAGAAAAGUCUUAGUCUAAUACCUUAAGAUGCUGACGGUGUUUGAGGAAUACGCACCGGCAAACUAUGUGACAGCAGCCGCGGUAAUACAUAGGGUGCAAGCGUUAAUCGGAAUUACUGGGCGUAAAGGGUGCGCAGGCGGCUUGGAAAGAACGGUGUGAAAUCCCGGGGCUCAACCCCGGAACUGCACUAUUAACUAUCAAGCUAGAGUAUGUCAGAGGGGGGUGGAAUUCCGCGUGUAGCAGUGAAAUGCGUAGAUAUGCGGAGGAACACCAAUGGCGAAGGCAGCCCCCUGGGAUAAUACUGACGCUCAGGCACGAAAGCGUGGGUAGCAAA
rnacentral:rRNA from 1 species